rnacentral:rRNA from 1 species
UGGGGAAUAUUGGACAAUGGGCGCAAGCCUGAUCCAGCAAUGCCGCGUGGGUGAAGAAGGUCUUCGGAUUGUAAAGCCCUUUCGGCGGGGACGAUGAUGACGGUACCCGCAGAAGAAGCCCCGGCUAACUUCGUGCCAGCAGCCGCGGUAAUACGAAGGGGGCUAGCGUUGCUCGGAAUGACUGGGCGUAAAGGGCGCGUAGGCGGUGCAUUUGGUCAGGCGUGAAAUUCCUGGGCUUAACCUGGGGACUGCGCUUGAGACGGGUGUGCUGGAGGGCAGGAGAGGCUCGCGGAAUUCCCAGUGUAGAGGUGAAAUUCGUAGAUAUUGGGAAGAACACCGGUGGCGAAGGCGGCGAGCUGGCCUGUACCUGACGCUGAGGCGCGACAGCGUGGGGAGCAAACAG